UACGUAGGGGGCAAGCGUUGUCCGGAUUUAUUGGGCGUAAAGCGCGUGUAGGCGGCUGGGUAGGUCCGUUGUGAAAACUCGAGGCUCAACCUCGAGACGCCGAUGGAAACCCUCCAGCUAGAGUCCGGAAGAGGAGAGUGGAAUUCCUGGUGUAGCGGUGAAAUGCGCAGAUAUCAGGAAGAACACCCGUGGCGAAGGCGGCUCUCUAGUACGGUACUGACGCUGAGACGCGAAAGCGUGGGGAGCGAACAGG
rnacentral:rRNA from 1 species